AUUGAACGCUGGCGGCAGGCCUAACACACGCAAGUCGAGCGGAUGAAGGGAGCUCGCUCCUGGAUUCAGCGGCGGACGGGUGAGUAAUGCCUAGGAAUCUGCCUGGUAGUGGGGGAUAACGUCCGGAAACGGGCGCUAAUACCGCAUACGUCCUGAGGGAGAAAGUGGGGGAUCUUCGGACCUCACGCUAUCAGAUGAGCCUAGGUCGGAUUAGCUAGUUGGUGGGGUAAAGGCCUACCAAGGCGACGAUCCGUAACUGGUCUGAGAGGAUGAUCAGUCACACUGGAACUGAGACACGGUCCAGACUCCUACGGGAGGCAGCAGUGGGGAAUAUUGGACAAUGGGCGAAAGCCUGAUCCAGCCAUGCCGCGUGCGUGAAGAAGGUCUUCGGAUUGUAAAGCACUUUAAGUUGGGAGGAAGGGCAGUAAGUUAAUACCUUGCUGUUUUGACGUUACCAACAGAAUAAGCACCGGCUAACUUCGUG
rnacentral:rRNA from 1 species